AGGCGCGUAGCUCAGGGGGAGAGCGCUACCUUGACACGGUAGAGGUCACGGGUUCAAAUCCCGUCGUGCCUACCA
rnacentral:tRNA from 2 species